rnacentral:rRNA from 1 species
CACAGCGGUUAAACGAAUGGCCCCAGUUGACAGACCUACGGCGUAAAGGGUGGUUAGUGCAACCUUCUAACUAAGGCCGAACGCCUUCACGGUUGUUUAAAGCUCCUGAAGAUUGGAAGUACAUCGACGAAAGUGGCCUUAAAACUCACGACACCACAAAAGCUAGGGAA